GAUGAAGAACGUAGCGAAAUGCGAUAAGUAAUGUGAAUUGCAGAAUUCAGUGAAUCAUCGAAUCUUUGAACGCACAUUGCGCCCGCCAGUAUUCUGGCGGGCAUGCCUGUUCGAGCGUCAUUUCAACCCUCAAGCCCAGCUUGGUGUUGGGGAUCGGCACAGGCGCCCUCGGGCGCCCGCCGUCCCCUAAAUCUAGUGGCGGUCCCGCUGCAGCCUCCUCUGCGUAGUAGUUUUCUCCUCGCAAGGGCAGCUCGGUGGCGACCUCGCCGUAAAACCCCCAACUUCUGAAAGGUUGACCUCGAAUCAGGUAGGAAUACCCGCUGAACUUAAGCAUAUCAAUAAGCGGAGGA
rnacentral:misc_RNA from 1 species